UACGAAGGGUGCAAACGUUGCUCGGAAUUACUGGGCGUAAAGGGCGCGUAGGCGGAUGGUACAGUCAGAUGUGAAAUUCCCGGGCUUAACCUGGGGGCUGCAUUUGAUACGUGCGAUCUGGAGUGAGGAAGAGGGUCGUGGAAUUCCCAGUGUAGAGGUGAAAUUCGUAGAUAUUGGGAAGAACACCGGUGGCGAAGGCGGCGACCUGGUCCUUGACUGACGCUGAGGCGCGAAAGCGUGGGGAGCAAACAGG
rnacentral:rRNA from 1 species